GGAGGAUUUUCAGUCCAUUGAAGCCUAUGUGAAAAGAUUGAAGUCCAUCGCCGAUUCUCUAGUAGAAAUCGGCGAUGAGAUCUCAAAUUCAGACAAGGUGUUGCAACUUCUUGCUGGUUUGCCUAAUCAAUACUUACCCCUCAAAAACAUAAUAUCAUCAAGGUGUCCUCUCCCCAAUUUUGAAGAAGCUUCUUCCAUGUUGUACAUGCAGGAGGACAUAUUAUUACAUGUAAGCAAAGGGGGAAAAAAAUUUACUCUAUAUUCAAAAGGCAUAAUACAUAAACAUGACAUUUAAUUUGGCGACAGCUGAUAAUUAUGAUCUUUAAUUUUGAAUAUGCACAAGUAAAUACUUAAAUUUAUAUAAAAUUGAACACAUUCGUCCUACAUGACACCUUACAUGACAAUAUCGUGUCCUACAUGGCAUCCUAUGCCUAUUAUGUCACGUAGGACAAAUAUGUUUAUUUGUUCAAUUUUAUACAAAUUUAAGUACCUACUUGUGCACAUUCAAAAUUAAAGAUCAUAGUUAUCCGUUAAAACCAAGUUAAGGAUCAUGUUUAUAUCUUAUGCCUAUUCAAAAUUACAAAUAUUCUUAUUAUGAGCUAAUUUACGGUUGCAGGAUCCCAGUGUUGUUGGUGCAGAGCAAUCGUCGUCUGGUUUUUGUACAGUAGAUAAGUUUGUUGAUGUAGUGGAGACAUUGGGUACUGUAGUAGCUGCAGCUGGUACAUUGGGAUUGGGUACUGUCUUUGCUGCUCCAUUGGGUACUGUGGUUGGUGCAGUUGGUGCAUCCAGGAUGAUUGUAUUUGGAGCAGUAAGUGCCAUGUCUGGCUGGAAAAAUUGGCAAGCACUCCGUCGCAAGUAAUUAAUCGGUUGAUUUCUUGUAUGGUCACUUAAUUAAUAGUUAUUUCGUUUGUGUAAUCAAAAGCUUGAUUUGCUACUUCUAUUUAAAGUUUGUCUUGAGAUGUAUUAUGAUAUGCAGUUGAAGUUCUACACAAACUUUCAUUUGUGUUUUGCAAUAUUUUGAUUUUCCUUUUGAGGUGUGUAUGGUAUGGAGGUAUAUUUUUGGGAAAAUGGUCUGAAAAGUAUUUUAACUUUGAUCGAAAUUAUUGUUACGAUAUCAAAUUUUAUGGAGGAUUUUUUACCUCUACACUAUUUAAUAGUGGAUUUUAAAGGUAUAUAUGUACCUAGUGGACACGUUACUAUUUAUAAUGAUGCAAUAUUUAUGAUGUUCACAUGGACAUAUAUAUACCUUUAAAAUACACUAUUAAAUAUUGUUACAACAAUUUCGAUCAAAAUUCGGAUAUAUUUCAGAUCAUUUUCCCUAUAUUUUUUGGUAAAGGAUUAAUUAAUCUCCGUAAUAGACCCAGAUUAGUUGAAGAGAAUAGUUUUAGAUUCCGUUUGGAUAAGCUGGAAAAAAAUGAGUAGUUUUUAAGUCAAAAAAUUAAAAAUUAAAAAAUUUAGAAAUAAUUUCAGAGACCUUCCCUCACAUUUAACUUUAUAACACUUACUUCCCUUGUGGUUUCAGAUAUUACACUCAUCUCCUUAUUUUUAAAUUUUUGUAACCAAACUUAUUUAAAUGAUAAUCUUUCAACAACAUUCCAAAAAUACCCUUUUAUAACAUUAAUAUAAUUAUUUAAUACUUCUAUAGUUCUUUAUGACUAAUAACAUAAGCAAUAUUUCGUUCCAGUUUUUAAUACUAUAUUUGAGUUUCUUUUAAGGUUGGAUUCAUAAUACGAGAAACGAUACGGUAUAAAUCAAUCGGUAAAUUCUUUUUUUUGAUAGAAAAAUGCAACCUGCAUACUUGACCUCCAAAUAUUUGUAUAAACAUUUUUUUUUUCAUUUGACAUGCGAUAAUAAAUGUUUAGUUUGAUAAUUUUUUAGACUUAAGAAAAAAAACAAUUAUGUUCAUAUAUAUAUAUAAAAAAAAAAAAUCUGCACAUAAUUACCAGACAAUAUUUCCCGACCCUAAACAAUAUUUUUAUAAUAAAUUUUCAACAUUCUUUUUGUACUUAAAAUAUUGCAUAUGUCUUAACCGUAAAAAUUACCACUAAAUUUUAAUAUGUUUAAGAAGUUCCGUCAUUUUAGCAAGUUCGAUAGUUUACAAGGAAAUAAAUAAAUGUAUAUAAUGAAAGACGGUGCGCGGUGGAGCACCAUAGGUAGAGUAUUUUAUUUCAGCUAAAAUAUUUUGGAAAUUUUCAUUUCAAAAAUUAAUAAAAAAUAAUGUUAAGCAAGGGGCAACUUUGGAAUAUUGGAUGAGUUUUAAUGAUUAAUAAAAAAUAAUGUCAAGAAAGGGCAACUUUGGAAUAUUAGAUGGGUUUUAGCAUUAAAACUAAUUUGGUUACAUAAAUGUGAAAAUAAGGGAGGUGAGCGUAAUAUCUAAAACUAGAAGGGAAGAUAGUGUUAUAAGGCUAAACUUGAGGGGAGGUCUCUGAAAUUAUCCUAAAAUUUUAAAUAAUUUUUAAGUCAAAAAAUGAAAAGUAAGAGAGCCUACUUUUGAUUUUUAAUUUAUUUGACAUUAUUUUUAACUUUGUCAAAACACUUUCAACAACUAAAAACACAUUAAAAAUAGGUUUGAUCAACUUUUAAAUUCAUCCAAACAUGUUAGUUUGAUGUAUCGAUCAAAUUUCGACUUACAUGCAUUGAUGCAAACAUCCAGGUGAGAAGGGAAUGUAAGUCAAGAUAAGCUAUAAUUGUGUUGGUGUUGUCAUUGAAAUCAAGAGAAAAUAAUUAAAAUGGUCUUUUGGUAAUGUUUUAUUUUGGUUCUUAAUAUAUUUUUAGGAAAAAUACUUAAAUAUGUCAUUGAAUUUUGAGAAAAUGUUCAUCAAUGUCAAAUCUAAAAAUUUGGUUCGUCUAUGUCUUUUCUGUUUGAGAAAAAGUUCAUCCAUUUUUUGUCAAAAUUCAAUGACAUAUUUGAGUUUUUUCUCUUUAAAAAUGAUUUAAUUAACAAUGUGGCUGAAUCAUAAUUGACCACGUGUAAAAAAAUAAUUUUGAAAAAUUGAAAUUAUUUUUAACAAAUAAUGGCAUGGAUGAGUGUUUUUCAAAUGAAAAUGGCAUAGAUGGGCCUUUUCUCAAAGUUUGAUGACAUAUUUAAGUCUUUUUUCCUAUAUUUUACAUGAUUGAAAUAAUACUUACUUAAUAACAAAAGUUAUUCAUUUGGGUCCUAAAAUUAAACCUAAUAGGGGCGGGCCCACGUUGAGCGAAUGGGUGUCAAGCGAAUCCCCGAAAAAUUUAACUAAAGUUUUUUAUAUAUAUAUAUAUAUUAACUAAGAAAUUUUUUAUUUAAGCAAAUAUGAUUAUGUCUUUCCAAUCCUUUAAUCCACCUUGUUUGCACAUCUACCUAUUAGAGCCUCUGUUCCGAUCAUUCAAUAUCCGUAUCUUUCAUACUAUAUUUAUCUAAAUUAUACAUAAAAUAAAUUUAAGAUACUAUUUUUUUAUAUAUAUAGCAAACACAAAAAAUAAUUAAAUUAUUUUCUUACCGUAUCAAACAUGAUCAAAGUAACGAAUUUUUUGCUUUAGGAAAUUGUACGGAGCCAAUAAUGUGUAAGGCAGUUUGGUCAUAUCGCGAAUUAAUAAAUUUUUUUUAUUAUAUGCAACAAUUUUAUUGUUACUAAACUAUAGGACUUGCGUGAAAUUUGUGUUCCAAUAUGAAAAGUAGAUCAAGGAAAAAGACAAAAAUAUGUCUAUUUCAUUAUAGCUUUUAUUUCCCUCAGACCUAAAGACCAAGUCAGCUCAUUUUCUAUCAACCAAUAUGACUUACUUCACGAGUAAGUUAAUUCAGAUACGUAUUCUUCUCCUUUUUCAAUUUAUGUCAUAUUAUUUAAACUGAUAAGGAAUUUAAGAAAUAAAUAAAUAUUUUAAAAAUUCGUUAUAAAUACUUUUAAUAUUGCUAUCUCAAUAUAAAUAGCAAUAUUUAAUUCUGUAAAAAAAAUGAAAAAUGAAAAAAUAAAUUAAAAUUUAUUGUUUAAAUAAAUUUUAGAUAUUUAUAUAUAUAAAUCAUUUUAUUUAUUAAGGUAAUAGAUAAAUUUUGAAUUUAAGCUAUUUAUUAUUAUAUAAAAAUGAGUUAUUUAAAAAAUAUAUAUAGUAUCAUAUAAAAUAGGCAAACAGUAUUUUCUUUGAUCACAAUUUGUUAAAAUAAUUUUUAAAAUAUCAUUCUUUUAAGAAACAUAUGUUGUAUAUAUAAUAUAAAUAUGAAAAUUUUAUCUUAAAAAUUAGUAAAAAAUUCAACAUCUAAAAUCACAUUAAAAAAAUUAAAGAUUCUAACACCUAAAUUCAAAGUGAAAGAUGUUUUUUGAAGAUUGGUUUAUAUUUGAAUUAACAUCAAAAUUUUAAACAGUAAGAGUUUGUUUGACCGAGGAACAAGUUGUUUUGAGAUUAAUUAUUUAAAAUCAUCAUUUCCUUCUCUAUGUGGAAUAAAAAUAACAUUAUUAACUAAUCUAAUCAUCUUAUCAACAUAAAAAAAACGAGAUAAAUUCAUCUUAAAAUUAAUUUCAAAAUUAAUUAUUUCUUAUCAUUAGUACCAAACGAGCCAUAACACACUAAUUCAAACAGUACUACAGGGUUCAUAUUUUAAAGGGUGGAAGUCUACUCAGAGAAUAAGAAGAAAAACCGGAGAGAUAGAAGCAGAGUUCAGUCAGGUAGAAACUUUAACAAUGAAUUUUCCAAUUGAAGAAUCUGAUAAAAAAAUAAAUCAAAAUUUACAGUUUAAAUAAAUGUUACGAUAUUUAUAUAGAUAUUAAUCAUUUUAUUAAGGUAAUAUAUAAAUUUUGAAGUUAAGCUAUUUAUUAUUAUAUAAAAAUAUUUUUUUAAAAAAAAAACUAUAUCAUAUAAAUUAAGAUAGAAAAAAUUAUCAUCUUCCUUAAAACGCAUGGAAAGAAAAAAGCAUCAUGUAAAGAAAGUUGAUAUUCUGAAUAAUACAUUUCUUGACUUCACCCACCAAUAAAGUUAUUAAAAAUAAAAGGUAACCAAUAAUGUUGUCUCAUCGUACUACUUUAAAUCUUUUAUCGUAAAGUACAAAAUAUACUAAUAAAAUGUUGCUAUCCAGUCCCUCAUUUUCUCCCUAUAAUUUUUUCAUAUAUAAUUGUAUUACUUUAAUAAUACUUGUAUGGAGAAAAUUCUCUUAAGAGUGUCACCCCCAAAUGAGCUCUGUAGAGCGCGAUCCAAAAUUAGUUGGAGCUUCAAGGUGGACUACAAACACCGGGUGAGAAACAAAAAAAAAACAACUAAUUUUGUAGUGCUAUUUUUAAAGAGUUACUUGACAAUAAGAAUUAUAUAAGGUAAAAACAAUAGACAAACCAUGUGAUUAAAAUAGGGAAAAUUAUGCAGAUAAGUAAAUAUACACUAGUUAAUUAACUAAUAUGGUUAUAAUUUGAAUUAAUUAUCACUUGCCGCCUUUUUUUAGUUAUAAUUACAUACACCUCUUUCACCUUUUUCCUCUCUUAUACAUACAAAUACAAAUUAUACAUAUACAUAUACAAUUAUAUGAUAGAUAUAUGAAUACAAUUCAUCUCUCUCCACUCUCUGCUCUCUCCUCCUUCUCUCAAUCUCGCUCGCAUCUCUCUUCCUUCUCCCACUCUCGCUCGCCUCUCUCCUCCUUCUCCCAAUCGUGCUCACCAAAUAUUCAAAUACAUACGUAUACCAGUUACAUAUAUACAAUUAUCUGACAUAUAUACAUAUACAAUUCGACAGAUAUGCAAAUACAAUUCACCUCUCUCGCUCGAUUCUCUCUUCCCUCUUCAAUCUUGUUCGCCUCUCUUCUCCCUCUAACAUGUAGAUACAAAUCAUAAUUAGCAAACUAUAACUAUGAUGCCUAAUAAAAUUAAUUUUAAUGGCUAUUUACAAAAUUUCUCCGUUAAAAUAAAAGUUUAUUUCUCUUUGGAUACACGAUAAGUGGCACUAGCCUGUGCAUAUCUCUGAUGGCAAGUAAACGACAGAGGAAGGAGGAAUCUAUGGCUAAACCCCAACUUAAUUAUGAGAUUAUAAUCUAUAAUGCAAAAUGAUUUAUUUUUUUUUGGUUUCAAUCUAUAUCUGCUACUAUUAAAAUAGGCAAACAGUAUUUUCUUUGAUCACAAUUUGUUAAAAUAAUUUUUAAAAUAUCAGUUUUUUAUGUACUCAUAAUAUAUAAAUGUGAAUAUUUUAUCUUAAAAUUUCUUUUACAUAAAUAUAUCAAACACAAAAAUUAAUUAAAUUAUAUUCUUACCGUAUCAAACAUGAUCAAAGUAAAGAAUUUUUUGCUUUAGGAAAUUGAACGGAGCCAAUAAUGUGCAAGGCAGUUUGGGUCCCAUCGUGAAUUAACAAACUUUUUAUUAUUGUUACCAAAAUUAUUGAACUUGAGUGGAAUUUACAGUCCAAUAUGAAAAGUAGAUCGAUGAAAAAGACAAAAAUAUGUCUAUUUCAUUAUAGCUUUCAUAUUCCCUCCAAUCUAAAGACCAAGUUAGCUCAUUUUCUGUCGAUCUAUAUGACUUACUUCACCAGUAAGCUAGUUCAGAUAUGUAUUAUUCUCUUUUUUCAAUUUAUUUCAUACUAUUUGAACUGAUAAGGAAUUUAAGAAAUAAAUAAAUACUUUAAAAACUCGUUAUAAAUACUUUAAAUAUUGAUUUCUUAAUAUAAAUAGCACUAUUUAAUUCUGUACAAAAUUUAAAAAUGAAAUAAAAAAGAUUUUUUAAAAUUUAUAGUUAAAAUAAAUUUUAGAUAUUUAUAUAGAUAUAAAUCAUUUUUAUUUAUUAAGGUAAUAGAUAAAUUUUGAAGUUAUGCUAUUUAUUAUUAUAUAAAAAUGAAUUAUUUUUUUUAAAAAUAAAUUAUAGUAUCAUAUAAAAUAGGCAAACAUUAUUUUCUUUGAUCACAAUUUGUUAAAAUAAUUUUUAAAAUAUCAUUUUUUUAUGAAACAUAUGUUGUAUAUAUAAUAUAAAUAUGAAAAUUUUAUCUUAAAAAAUACUAAAGAAUUCAACAUCUAAAAUCACAUUAAAAAAAUUAAAGAUUCAACACCUAAAUUCAAAGUGAAAGAUGUUUUUUGAAGAUUGGUUUAUAUUUGAAUUAACAUCAAAAUUUUAAACAGUAAGAGUUUGUUUGACCGAGGAACAAGUUGUUUUGAGAUUAAUUAUUUCCUUCUUUAUGUGGAAUAAAAAUAACACUAUUAACUAAUCUAUUGAUCUUAUCAAAAUAAAAAAUAAAAAAAAGAUAAACUCAUCUUAAGAUUAAUUUCAAAAUUAGUUAUUCCUUUUCAGUAGUACCAAACGAGUCAUAACACACUAAUUCAAACAGUACUAAAGGGUUCAUAUUUUAAAGGGUGGAAGUCUUCUCAAAGAAAAGAGAAAAGACAUAAAGUCAUCACUAAAAUUGUUGCAAAUUUUCAAAAAGAUACUUUAACUUUGCAAUCGUCCUAUUACCUCACUAAACAAUUUUGAACAUAUAUUAUUAUAUCAUUUUUUUUAUCAAUCCCAGAUUUUAAAAAGCAAGUGUGUUCACACACCAAUCAUUACAUAACACGUGUUAAUUUUAUUUUCAUUUUAACUUUUUUCUUUAUCUGUCUUUCUUUUUUACUUAUUUUAAUUUUAAUUUCAUCUUAAAUUCAUCUUCCACCUCCCACUUUCAAGUGAUUCAUCCCUCCAUUUUCUUUCGUUUUCUUCACCUCCCAUCCUCACCUCACCCACCACGUCAAGUUGAACCCCGCCCUCAUUUUUUUUCUCUUUUUCUUCUUCUUCUCCGGUCAAAUUCUUUAUAGAAUUCAUACUAUCUUUUAGACUUUAUUGAAUUAUUGAUAACAAAAUUAAUUAUUUUUUUAAGAAAAUUUAAAAUUUGAAGAUAUCAUCAACUACUCCUUUUCAUAUAACUUCAAAAUUAAAAAUAAUAAUUUUAAAAGAAUCAAUGAAUUCCCCGAAAAUUGAAAGAACUCAAUUGAAAUCGGAUAAAAAAAUUAUAUGAUACUUCCUAAUUAUCUUGAAAUCUAAUGGGUUUAUCAAAUUGUUCGAAAUGUAAAAAAAUAUUUAGUUAAAGUUUUAAAAUUAAAGAGAGUAAAACUAAUUGUAGUAAUAAAGGAAGGUGAAGUUGUGGUAAAAAUGGUGACAUUGAAAGUGAGAAGUUUCAAUGGAAAUAACAAUGAAUUUUUGAAGAAGAAAGAAGAAAGAAAGAGAAAAAAUAAAAAGGAAAAAAAGUUAAAAUAAUAAAAAAAUAAGAAAAUAUAUUUUAUAAUAAAGUAUUUGUAAAAAUAAAAUUAUAUUAGUUCAUUUAGCUUGCUCACUCUCUUUGAGAGAGUGUACACCACUCUAUAUGUCAGGUGGACGAAAAAUGAUAUAGUAAUACAUAUUCAAAAUUGUUUAGUGAGGUAAUAGUAUGAUUGUAAAGUUAAGAUGUCUUUUUUAAAAUCUAGGACAACUUCAAUAUUGCAUUUAUGUCUUUUCUCGAGAGAAAAAGAAAAACCAGAGAGAUAGAAGCAGAGUUCAAUCAGUUAAGAAUGAAUUUUCCAAAUGAAGAAUCUGAUAAUUCCACGAUUUCAGUUGAAGAUGAACAGAUCAAGCGGACUCAACUUAAAAUUCAAUUUCAGAGUACAAGAAAAGGGGAUCUCGAAACAAUCGAAUCCUAUGUGAAAAAAUUGAAAUCCAUAGCCAAUUCUCUAGCAGAAAUUGACAGUCCGAUCUCAGAUUCAGACAUGGUGUUGCAACUUCUUGCUGGUUUGCCUAAUCAAUACUUGCCCCUCAAAAACACAAUAUCAUCAAUGUGUCAUCUCCCCAAUUUUGAAGAAACUUCUUCCAUGUUGUACA
rnacentral:lncRNA from 1 species